ACUGAAUACAUAGGUAUGCAAAGCGAACGCGGCGAACUGAAACAUCUAAGUAGCUGCAGGAAAAGAAAUCAACCGAGAUUCCCAAAGUAGUGGCGAGCGAAAUGGGAAGAGCCUGCACGUUUUAGCAUGACGCAUAACAGAAUCCUCUGGAAAUAGGAGCCAUAGCGGGUGAUAGCCCCGUAUGUGAAAUGCGAUGUGUGGAACUAAGCGUGCGACAAGUAGGGCGGGACACGAGAAAUCCUGUCUGAAUAUGGGGGGACCAUCCUCCAAGGCUAAAUACUCGUAAUCGACCGAUAGUGAACCAGUACCGUG
rnacentral:rRNA from 1 species